UACGAAGGGGGCUAGCGUUGUUCGGAAUUACUGGGCGUAAAGCGCGCGCAGGCGGUCUUCCAAGUCAGUGGUGAAAGCCCGGAGCUCAACUCCGGAAUUGCCAUUGAAACUGUUGGACUUGAGGAUGAGAGAGGUGAGUGGAAUUCCCAGUGUAGAGGUGAAAUUCGUAGAUAUUGGGAAGAACACCAGUGGCGAAGGCGGCUCACUGGCUCGUAACUGACGCUCAGGCGCGACAGCGUGGGGAUCAAACAGG
rnacentral:rRNA from 1 species